rfam:Picea glauca, whole genome shotgun sequence.
GGGUGCGAUCAUACCAGCGUUAAUUUACCGGAUCCCAUCAGAACUCCGCAGCUAAGCGCACUUGGGCUAGAGUAGUACUGGGAUGGGUGACCUCCUGGGAAGUCCUAGUGUUGCACCCU